UGUUUGAAUCUCAUCACGGUAUAUAUAACACAUCUGUAUCAACCCAAAGGUUGCAUGUUUGAAUCUCAUCACGGUAUAUAUAACACAUCUGUAUCAACCCAAAGGUUGCAUGUUUGAAUCUCAUCACGGUAUAUAUAACACAUCUGUAUCAACCCAAAGGUUGCAUGUUUGAAUCUCAUCACGGUAUAUAUAACACAUCUGUAUCAAUCCAAAGGUUGCAUGUUUGAAUCUCAUCACGGUAUAUAUAACACAUCUGUAUCAACCCAAAGGUUGCAUGUUUGAAUCUCAUCACGGUAUAUAUAACACAUCUGUAUCAACCCAAAGGUUGCAUGUUUGAAUCUCAUCACGGUAUAUAUAACACAUCUGUAUCAA